CACAUCACGUUGAAAAACUGGUUCUCAUACGAUCACCGAAGUUAAGCAACGUCGAUCCUGGUCAGUACGUAGAUGGGUGACGCUUGUCAAUACCAGGUGCUGUA